rnacentral:rRNA from 1 species
UGGGGAAUAUUGCACAAUGGGCGCAAGCCUGAUGCAGCCAUGCCGCGUGUAUGAAGAAGGACUUCGGGUUGUAAAGUACUUUCAGCGGGGAGGAAGGGAGUAAAGUUAAUACCUUUGCUCAUUGACGUUACCCGCAGAAGAAGCACCGGCUAACUCCGUGCCAGCAGCCGCGGUAAUACGGAGGGUGCAAGCGUUAAUCGGAAUUACUGGGCGUAAAGCGCACGCAGGCGGUUUGUUAAGUCAGAUGUGAAAUCCCCGGGCUCAACCUGGGAACUGCAUCUGAUACUGGCAAGCUUGAGUUUCGUAGAGGGGGGUAGAAUUCCAGGUGUAGCGGUGAAAUGCGUAGAGAUCUGGAGGAAUAACGGUGGCGAAGGCGGCCCCCUGGACGAAGACUGACGCUCAGGUGCGAAAGCGUGGGGAGCAAACAGG